AUUGAACGCUGGCGGCAUGCCUUACACAUGCAAGUCGAACGGCAGCACGGGUGCUUGCACCUGGUGGCGAGUGGCGAACGGGUGAGUAAUACAUCGGAACAUACCUUAUCGUGGGGGAUAACGCAGCGAAAGCUGUGCUAAUACCGCAUACGCCCUGAGGGGGAAAGCGGGGGAUCGAAAGACCUCGCGCGAUUAGAGCGGCCGAUGCCUGAUAGCUUGUUGGUGGGGUAAAAGCCCACCAAGGCGACGAUCAGUAGCUGGUCUGAGAGGACGAUCAGCCAGACUGGGACUGAGACACGGCCCAGACUCCUACGGGAGGCAGCAGUGGGGAAUUUUGGACAAUGGGGGCAACCCUGAUCCAGCAAUGCCGCGUGAGUGAAGAAGGCCUUCGGGUUGUAAAGCUCUUUUGUCAGGGAAGAAACACCGGCUCUAACACAGUCCGGGAAUGACGGUACCUGAAGAAUAAGCACCGGCUAACUACGUGCCAGCCGCCGCGGUAA
rnacentral:rRNA from 1 species